UCUAUCUCAUCUUCUUAACAUGAUUUCUCUUGAAUCUAUUAUGGGUUUAAGGUUAAUCAUGAAGAUUAGUGAGUAGACUCUUUUUGGAUUCAUGGGUUAGGAUGAUUAGGAUGAUUAAGUGAUGAUCUAGAAUGUUUAGAGUAGAUUAAUAUGUUUCCUUGCUUGAUUGAGUGAUCUUAAUGCUAAUCUAGAGUUGGCCAUUUUAGAUUAGAAAUCUAGACAUUUCAUUGCCCGGAAGGUGUUCGAUGAAAUGUCUGAGCCAACUCAACAUGCUCUUAGCUUACCCUACCAAAGGCAUUUGAUGUUAGGGAAAUUAAGUCCGCGGAAUCGGACCAGAGAGCUCGAGGUUGGUGUGGUCGGCUUCGGGCGUGUACUGCAGACGAAGGCAGUCCGCGGAUUCUCGCCCGAGAGGUCGAGUUUUGAUGGGACAGACCGCGGACCACGGCCGCGGGUUGGAGCCGUCUGCGGUCGAUGCCAAGACCGGCUCACCCAUUUGCCUUUUGGGUCAAACCCGGGUUUGUCGGGUCGACCCGGUUCGAUUUUUAAGCUACUAUAAAUACAUUUUAGACCUAAUUUUAGAGGAUAUCUUGUUUUCUCUCAAAAAUACAUUGAUACUUUGGAGAAAGUUUGAAUCUUUAGUAAUAUAAUCUUUCUUUCUUGAGUAAUUUGAGUCUAUCUCAUCUUCUUAACAUGAUUUCUCUUGAAUCUAUUAUGGGUUUAAGGUUAAUCAUGAAGAUUAGUGAGUAGACUCUUUUUGGAUUCAUGGGUUAGAAUGAUUAGGAUGAUUAAGUGAUGAUCUAGAAUGUUUAGAGUAGAUUAAUAUGUUUCCUUGCUUGAUUGAGUGAUCUUAAUGCUAAUCUAGAGUUGGCCAUUUUAGAUUAGAAAUCUAGACAUUUC
rnacentral:lncRNA from 1 species